rnacentral:miRNA from 1 species
CAAGUUAUAAGCUCUUUUGAGAG